rnacentral:misc_RNA from 1 species
AACGCACAUUGCGCCCCGUGGUAUUCCGCGGGGCAUGCCUGUUCGAGCGUCAUUUCACCACUCGAGUCUGACUCGGUAUUGGGCGCCGCGGUCCGCUGCGCGCCUCAAAGUCCCCGGCUGGGUGGGCCCGUCCCCGAGCGUUGUGGUUUCACAGUCUCGCUAGGGAGCACGCGUCCGCCGCCACGGCCGUUAAACACCCCCAUCACAGGUUGACCUCGGAUCAGGUAGGGAUACCCGCUGAACUUAA